rnacentral:antisense_RNA from 1 species
AUCUCGGUGAUAGACCCAGGAAGUCAGUGGCUGGGCGGGGCGGGCUGUGAGGACUGAGGUCUGCAGCGAAGCCGAGUCCAGCCCCGUGGUCUUCGCUUCGUUCGGCAACGAACGCCCAGCGAAGGGACAUCCCUGUAGAAGUUCUGCUGCGUGUGGUCCAGCCGUCCCCACUCCUCCCGGGAGAGGUACAAGGCCACAUCCUCGAAAGUCACUGGCAUCUGAAACAAUGUGAAACAUCCACUCUCCAGGACAUGACGUGGACACGGUGGAGGGACACCAUGGCAUGAGAUGUGUGGUGAGAUCCCGGACUCCCAACCCACUGUCUCGAGUGAGGCCUGCCACUUCCAUCUGAUGGGGAAGUGGGUGAGCCACCCAAGGCCUUCUGGGGAGUUGAGAAAGAACAAAGACCAAGAGGUAUCUUCAGGGACCACAGUUAAGACUUAGGAUGUCCAUGCAGCCCCCAUCCUCAGCUGAGACCUCGGAGGACGGUUCCCAGCGGCUCCCAAUGAGAGGCCCUGUGUCUCUAAUUCCUGCUGCUUCUCCUCCAGCUUUGGCCCAGGCCUGACCAUGGGCCUUGAGCCUGGACAAUUCCAGCAACACUAG